rnacentral:rRNA from 1 species
GACGAACGCUGGCGGCGUGCUUAACACAUGCAAGUCGAGCGGUAAGGCCCUUUCGGGGGUACGACGAGCGGCGAACGGGUGAGUAACACGUGGGUGACCUGCCCUCCAGCUCUGGGAUAAGCCUGGGAAACCGGGUCUAAUACUGGAUAUGACUCCAUGACGCAUGUUGUGGGGUGGAAAGCCUUGUGCGGCUGAGGAUGGGCCCGCGGCCUAUCAGCUUGUUGGUGGGGUGAGGCCUACCAAGGCGACGACGGGUAGCCGGCCUGAGAGGGCGACCGGCCACACUGGGACGUGAGACACGGCCCAGACUCCUACGGGAGGCAGCAGUGGGGAAUCUUGCGCAAUGGGCGAAAGCCUGACGCAGCGACGCCGCGUGAGGGAUGACGGCCUCGGUU